rnacentral:rRNA from 1 species
CAGCAGCCGCGGUAAUACGAAGGGGGCUAGCGUUGCUCGGAAUUACUGGGCGUAAAGGGAGCGUAGGCGGAUAGUUUAGUCAGAGGUGAAAGCCCAGGGCUCAACCUUGGAAUUGCGCUCGAAACUACUUGGCUGGAGUGUGGCAGAGGAAGGUGGAAUUCCACGUGUAGCGGUGAAAUGCGUAGAGAUGUGGAGGAACACCAAUGGCGAAGGCAGCCUUCUGGGCCAACACUGACGCUCAUGCACGAAAGCGUGGGGAGCAAACAGGAUUAGAUACCCUGGUAGUCCACGCCCUAAACGAUGACGACUAGUUGUUGGGGGAGUUAAAUCCCUUAGUAACGCAGCUAACGCGUGAAGUCGUCCGCCUGGGGAGUACGGUCGCAAGAUUAAAACUCAAAGGAAUUGACGG